CGCAUGCGCAGUCGACCACCGGAGCUAACGGAAAACUUGCCAGUGCUAAUUAGCAUCCUCGCUUACUAACAUUUAACGUUAAUUUCAUUCAAAAGCAACCCUACCGGACUCCAACCAGCGCAAGUCAUCCGGAGUAAGCAGGAGAGCUCGUCUUUCAAAGUCCUCUACCUGUCCCGCUGUGCAAAAAGAGAGAGACCCCGGACCGUCUCACACACACUCACAGCCCCCCGAGGGGGCGGCGGUGUGUGGCAGCAGAGGACGUUUGGAGAGCUGCUGGCGAUGUGUCGGGCUUCCUUCCACCCUGAUAAUUAGGCUGACGGCUGCGUCACACACUCACACUUGAGGCCUUCUGUGACAGACGGGGGGGGGGCUUCUUUCUGUGGCUCACAUGUCGUCCUCUGUUGGCAGGUGGAUAUACCCGCGUGUGUGUGUGUGGGUCUUACUUUGCUGGUGUCCGUUUGGACGUUUUCUCAUAACUAAGUGUUCAGGCGCAGAUGGCCGGACGUCCCACUGAGAGGCCGGAUGCCAAAAUAAAAACCCAGCGUUCAAAGAUUCAAACCAUCAGCAGUGCUCUUCAGGUAACUAGUACCAAGAGCCCCGUUCCAACAUAAUGUGGGAAACUGCUAAAAUGACAUCGCCUUGUACAUGAGAGGUGACUGUCAUAGUGAUGAAGGGAAUUUUUUUUUAACCCAAAGCAAAAAGCUUGUGUGUGUUUCAGAAGAGCGCCAGACAAAUAUAAAGUAAUUUAAAUUACAACCAGGACCCAGUUUAAUGAUUAAAAUGUUUGGGUCAGGAGCCUCUCCGCUGUAAUCUGAUCUGUUACACUGACCUGAGGGUUGAAAGUCCAUCCUCCUUAGAUAAGAUACUAACUCUCUGGUCUCAAAGGGGGGACCGCCCGCCCUCCUGAGGGUGAGUUAGUGGUCCGAAUCAGAGGUUUCAGCCAUGUCGACCGUUGACUGACACACGCGACACGAACACACCACCAGCUGCUCAUCAGGACUCAGCGACCCACCUCCCAAGAGAAAAGUCUAACCCGGACCUGAGAGCAGCCCGAUCCUCAUUCCCAUCCUCGCUCUUAUUUUAGAGGUCCAUUUAAACUGGGUGGAGUUAUUGUUUCUCUGAUUUACUUUUAAUCAAGCGGCAAACUACAGUUGUGAAAAUUUAGGCCAAUUCAAGGCUCUUAAACUUGCAUUCUGUCUGCUGACCAUCAGGGGGCGACUCCUCCAGCUGUAAACAACCUCUGACCCGAUUUAUUACCUCAGUAAUCUCAAUAGCUUUAAUAUUCUGUAAACUCCACGUUCUAAGAACGAGUAACAUUUUCAUUUUCACAACGCAAAACCCCGUCCAGGGUUACUCCCUGAACGAGACCUUGAAGAACAAGUCUUCCUUCUCAAAAACACCCUCGCCGCAAGGAGACGACAACUUUAGAAUCUUUUCACACAUUCACAGAAAAGAAGGGUCGUCAUGGAAACGGCAGCUCGACACAAACUAAUGAUCACAAACCUUAAAAUGUCACUUUAUUCCUGCAAAACGAAAAAGAAAAAAACAUGCUGGCUUCUGAAUUCCCUGUCCAGUCUCCCGAACACACACACACACACACACACACACACACACUCUCACCCUCACUCACCCUCACUCACCCACCACCUGCUGAGUCUGAAAUGGAAACCAAAAUACGAGCCGGGUCUGUUCUGCACACUGCUCAGCUGUGUGAUCAGAGGCUCCUUGAAGGCGCUCACUCCCAGAGUGCACUGCUUCGAGGGUUCAGACCAGAGCUAUUAAUUAGUCGUCUCACCCCCUAUCCCCC
ensembl:lncRNA